AGAGUUUGAUCCUGGCUCAGAUUGAACGCUGGCGGCAGGCCUAACACAUGCAAGUCGAGCGGAAACGAUGGAGCUUGCUCCAGGCGCCGAGCGGCGGACGGGUGAGUAAUGCAUAGGAAUCUGCCCGGUAGUGGGGGAUAACCUGGGGAAACCCAGGCUAAUACCGCAUACGUCCUACGGGAGAAAGCAGGGGAUCUUCGGACCUUGCGCUAUCGGAUGAGCCUAUGUCGGAUUAGCUAGUUGGUGAGGUAAUGGCUCACCAAGGCGACGAUCCGUAGCUGGUCUGAGAGGAUGAUCAGCCACAUCGGGACUGAGACACGGCCCGAACUCCUACGGGAGGCAGCAGUGGGGAAUAUUGGACAAUGGGCGCAAGCCUGAUCCAGCCAUGCCGCGUGUGUGAAGAAGGCUUUCGGGUUGUAAAGCACUUUCAGUGAGGAAGAACGCCUUGGGGCUAAUACCCCCGAGGAAAGACAUCACUCACAGAAGAAGCACCGGCUAACUCCGUGCCAGCAGCCGCGGUAAUACGGAGGGUGCGAGCGUUAAUCGGAAUUACUGGGCGUAAAGCGCGCGUAGGCGGCGUGAUAAGCCGGUUGUGAAAGCCCCGGGCUCAACCUGGGAACGGCAUCCGGAACUGUCAGGCUAGAGUGCAGGAGAGGAAGGUGGAAUUCCCGGUGUAGCGGUGAAAUGCGUAGAGAUCGGGAGGAAUACCAGUGGCGAAGGCGGCCUUCUGGACUGACACUGACGCUGANGUGCGAAAGCGUGGGUAGCAAACAGGAUUAGAUACCCUGGUAGUCCACGCCGUAAACGAUGUCNACUAGCCGUUAGGGU
rnacentral:rRNA from 1 species